rnacentral:tRNA from 1 species
AGGAAUAUAGUUAAAAAAUAACCUUUAAUUUGCAAUUAAAAAUUAUUGGAAUCAAUUAUUCUUA